UACGUAGGGACCAAGCGUUGUCCGGAAUCAUUGGGCGGAAAGAGCGUGUAGGCGGCUUGUUAAGUCUUGCGUGAAAUCUCGGGGCUCAACCCCGAGCGGUCGUGAGAAACUGGCAGGCUAGAGUGCGGGAGAGGAGAGUGGAAUUCCUGGUGUAGCGGUGAAAUGCGCAGAUAUCAGGAAGAACACCCGUGGCGAAGGCGGCUCUCUGGAACGCAACUGACGCUGAGACGCGAAAGCGUGGGGAGCAAACAGG
rnacentral:rRNA from 1 species